rnacentral:tRNA from 1 species
GGGCCAUUAGCUCAGCUGGCAGAGCAGUGGACUCUUAAUCCAUUUGUCGUAGGUUCGAUCCCUACAUGGCCCA